rnacentral:rRNA from 1 species
AGUGAACGCUGGCGGUAGGCCUAACACAUGCAAGUCGAACGGCAGCACAGUAAGAGCUUGCUCUUACGGGUGGCGAGUGGCGGACGGGUGAGGAAUACAUCGGAAUCUACUUUUUCGUGGGGGAUAACGUAGGGAAACUUACGCUAAUACCGCAUACGACCUACGGGUGAAAGCAGGGGAUCUUCGGACCUUGCGCGAUUGAAUGAGCCGAUGUCGGAUUAGCUAGUUGGCGGGGUAAAGGCCCACCAAGGCGACGAUCCGUAGCUGGUCUGAGAGGAUGAUAAGCCAAACUGGAACUGAGACACGGUCCAGACUCCUACGGGAGGCAGCAGUGGGGAAUAUUGGACAAUGGGCGCAAGCCUGACCCAGCCAUACCGCGUGGGUGAAGAAGGCCUCGGGUUGUAAAGCCCUUUUGUUGGGAAAGAAAAGCAGCAGGUUAAUACCCCGCUGUUCUGACGGUACCCAAAGAAUAAGCACCGGCUAACUUCGUG